GUAACACGUGUGCUCGCCUCCCCUCGCCUUCCCUCGCUUUCCCUCGCCUCCCCUCGCUUUCCCUCGCCUCCCCUCGCCUACGCUCGCGUCCCCUCGCUUCCCCUCGUGUUUACCUGUGACGUGUGCCUUCCCAGCCGGCUGGAUGACCGCGCAAAAACAACAAAAAUCGCAGCAAUCGAAGGAAUUACUCAGCGAUUAAUCUUAAUUAACUUGUUGCCCAGCCUGCUACCCCAUAGGAGGCAGAAGCAGGAACGAACGGCAGUCGCCAAUGCAUUUGGUGAUACAUAAACUAAACUGCGCUGUGAGGGUUCCUAUCAUCCGGCACUGCUCUGCCCCACCUCUGCUGCUCCUCCCCCUUCCCACCCCCUCCUUUUCCACGCUCUCCCUGGCCGGGAAAACAGCAUGAAAAUCAUAUUAUAAAUAAAUUAUGCAAUUAUAAUUACACAAGAAAACUACUUGGGGCAAAACAACUUGUGCAGAGAGCGAAAGAGACGGGCAUAGCCGUAACGAAAGAGAUGGCAACACACACACAGGCACACACAUGGUCAGGAGGAAGCCAGGACUCAGCCAGGACCCGGCCAGGAGAGCCGUGCUGCUGCUGCCGUGCAAGUCCCUUGCUGGGGCUAAAAAUCCUCCUCAAAGUUGUCAUGCCGGGGCGCGUGAAGCUUUCCCAUUUUCCCCAACGCCAUUUGCUCCAUUUUCCAGCAUUUCCUUCUCUGUUAUCCUUACCUCCCCCCUCCCCUGCCAUGUGCACAAAUAGCACAAGUACAGGAAAAUAAUUACAUUUUACGUGUUCCUAUUAAUCUUGCUGAGUUUUUAGUUUCAGUUUUAGUUUUGCCCACUAAUUCACUUGCCUCCCCUCUCCAAACACCCUCUCUCUCCCACCCCUAACAGCAGGGCUUUCUUCACCCUUUUUCUCGAAUUCAAUUUUCUUGGUUGAGUUUGCUUUUUACUUCAGCUUGCCCGAAGAAGUUUUACCCGGAAAAUACUUUGGCAGUCCAGUGACAAACAGCUCUGAAGUGAGUCAUUUUCUCCGAGAGAGAGAGAGAGAGAGAGAAGGGGGGAAAAGCCAAGGGAAAACAAUAUCAAUAGAUGGACACACACAGGAGUCUUACAGGUAAACCUAAACCCUUUCAGGUAAUCACUUAAAUCGCCCUCAAAUCAAAUUAAUUGGAGGCGCAAAAAUGUACAAAACCAUUUAGACUAAUGACAAGACAUGGCUUCACCUGAAUAAUUUAUGCAAUCGCUUAAUUGCAAGAUUUAACCAUAAAACAUUGACACCCCAGAGAGGAAUAUAGAGCGCCGGAAGUGUAAUUCUCCACUUGACUGCCGCUCUUUGCGAAUGCGUUUGAUGGCAGCCCCUGGUGGGUCCUUCCUUGUCCGUGGGACAGGAAGUGGACCCAGGAGCCAGGACGAUCGUUCGAAUGCAGCAGCAACAGCAGCAGCAGCGGCAGCAUUCGCAGGAUAAUCGCAUCACUCGAAACUUUCGCCAAAAACGGCAGAAAAUUAAAUUGGCUUGCAGCGGGGCAUCCUGGCAAAGGGGUGUUAAUAGCGGAAAAUCCAAUGGAAAAUCCCAGGAAAAAAGAUAUGGAAAUAUGGAAAAUAUUUCCUAGAAACAAAAGCAAGAAUCUCUGCAAAGAGAAAUAUCCAAAGACAGUCUGUGAAGAGGAAAACUGGAAACCCUAUAUGAAAAACCACGAGAAAAGCUUAAGAAAAUUCAAGAAAAACCUACAAAAAUGCUUUGAGUUAAAAGCAAAGGUCUUGCUGCUCUGCCAGCUCCAUCAAUAACCCAACAACCUGAGGGUCAAGGCAGGACUAGCAGGUCUCCGGCUUAGUCUCCAGCUGAGUGGUGACCACCGAUGGCCGCAAAAAUGGGCUACGCCGCUCCACUCAAAGUGCCCUUUUAGAUCCCAUUGCCACUGCAGGCAUCUGUGUGAAAGGAAGGCAGGAAGGGACCUGGGAGCAAGGAGCUAGAGAGAACCAGGAGCCAGCCAGGAGCCAGCCAAGAGCCAGCCAAGAGCCAGAAGGGUGUCAUAUAGAAUGACAUGUGGUGGCUGCGGAGUGGAUGCGGUGACCUCCAAGGUGGACAGGGGGGCCACAAAUUACAAAACGAGUUUUGCACAAGGCAGCAAACAUGUCGUCACUGGCUCCAGUUUCCAGCUGCUCCAGGUCCAGCUUCUCCCUCAAUUUACCUAUGCCAGCACUGAAAGAAAAGUCUAGAAACACUUGGGAAGGAACAGAAGUAAACACCUUCAGGAAACCCACUAGAAAUUUCAAACAGUGCUACAAAAUAUAUUUAAAAAUCAACAGGGUUAAAGACAAGUUUACAAGCUACUUGGGAUUUAAAAUAUAUUUGAAAAGAAAUAAGGACCUCCAGGAAGCCUCUAAGAAGGCUAAAAGUGCUAGAAAAUAUUUUUAAAAUUCGAAAAACAGAUACAAAAACCUCCAGCAAACUUCGAAACUCUUAAAAUCUAAAAUAUAUUUAAAAAUCGAAAAACAGGAAAGCCACUAGAAAUUUCUAACAGUGCUGCCUUCAACACAAUGGCUCCGCCUGUGUGUGUGUAUGUGUCUGUCUCUAGGACCAGCACCUGUAAAAAGAAUCAAUUGUGUGUGACCAAAUUAAGUUCACUGACUCACCCACACACACACACACACCACCCAGAGCAUCCUGGGUCUGCAGCAGCUCCAACUGGGAGGGAGCACGCUGCCAUUGUCAAGUGGAAGCCAAAUGGGGAUUCAUUUGAAUAGAGUGGCGGCCGGCGGAGCGCUGAUGGCGGGGCCAAAACAAAAAAAGGACUGCAGGUCCUGGCCAGUGCACGGGACGCACGCAGACACGAAGGACGAAGAGAAGAGUGAAUGGCGAGGAGGCGGAGGACAGCCGUGUAAAUGGGGAAUGUAACCAAAUUGAAAACAGAACAGAGCAUCACUUUGAAUGCACUUUCCCGGGAGGGAGAGAGGUGCAGGUGAAGGUGGAGUAAGGAGCAGCAAGCUUGGCGAUCGCAAACAAUCUUUGAUCGGACGUUCAAGAAUGAGGGCUUAUUACCCAUUUGGACAGUGCAACAGGGCGUAUACUUGAUGGCGAUACUAUAAUCGGUAUAUAUCGAUAAAAAUCGAUACAAAAAUCUACAGAAUGCGCAUAUUUUGGAUAAUUUGAAAGGCAAAAAGCACAGACUUUCCAUCGUCAUUGCCAUCGCCAUCGCUCCUAGUCAUCAGUAGCAGUAGACCUGACACCCACCCGGGCCAAGAACCAAGGGAAAGGACCAAGGACACACGCAAAAGGAUGGUGAAUAAGGGAUGGAAAUGGAGGAACAGGGAUCAGGAAUCAGGGAUAAGGAGAGAGCACCGCCAGUCAGGUCUGCCGGCUACUUUUAGAACAACAGCAACGAAUACAACAAGCAACAUUUUAAUUUUAAAAUUAUUCUAUGUUACUGAACCUAAAUAAAAACUUUA